UUCAACUCCUCUGCUGCUGGCUGUUUUUGUUACUUGGCCUUUUAUGCCGGCUGCUGCAGACAGGAAGAGGAGCAUGAGGGCGGGGAGGCUGGAGCCAAAGGAUGAGGUAGAUGUCCCCCUCCCCACCCCACCCGUGCCCCCAGACCAAGCAUCAGGGGUGAGUCAGAGGCCAUCAGCCACCCCCGACCACCUCCCAUCCACCACCCCCAGUCUGGGCUGCUCGCCUUGGGAGCGCUGCUUUGCCUGGAGAGACAGCCCUGCCUGAGGCUUGAAUGACACACAAAUCCUCCCUCCCCAAGCCUCGGUCAGUACCGGGUCUGCUUGGCCUUCUGUGAUCCCCCACAGGCCCAGGCCUGGCUCUCCCUUGUGCUGUGGGUUCGGGGAGACUGGGAGUGACCAGGCAAGGUCAGGGCUUCGGAUCAGGGUGUUAAUUUUCUGCCGGUAGGCUGCCAUGCCGAAUCACCACAACCUUGGUGACUUAAAACCACAGCGUUUAUUUCCUCACAGCCCUGGCAGCCAGAAGCCUGGGAUCCGGGUGUGGGCCGGCCACGCUCUCCCAGGUUUCCUGCUCCUCCAGCUCCAGGAGCUCCCAGGCACUCCCUGGUGUGGGGCCUCGUCCCUCCAGCCUCUGCCUUUGUGCUCCUGUUUCUCUUCCUCUGUCUGUCUCUAGCCUGCGCUGCCUCUUUCUUAGGAGGCAUUUGGAGCCCCCUGGAUAAUCCAGAUGAGGGCUGCCUCUCUGAAGACCCCUGAACUAAUCACAGCGCUCACUGAGUGAGGUGACAUGAGGUUUGGGUCCAGGAUCAGCAAGUGAUGAUGCCUUUGGGGUCAUCCUUCUGGGCAGCCCCCUGGGGAGCUUUUCCUCCCCGGUCACUUGUGGGAUAAUUAGGGACUGGGGAGCCCUUGGUGAGCCUGUGUCCGUGGGCACGGGGACAGGAAGAAGGCGGCUUUCUGAGGGUGUCUGUGGUCCAUGUUGCCGCUGCUCUAGGGAGGACAGGCCCAGCGGAGCAGCUGAUGGACUAAAAACUGGCCAUCUUUGAUCAGAGGGAUCGUGGAUUUUUGCAACUUUCCUGGCCAGACUUCGUCAAGGCCCUGCCGGCCUGCUGGACACUGAUUGAUCAAAGAUUGAUCAAACAGCUCCUCCCCUCACUGAGGGCAGAUGCUUGCUUCAAGGAUCAAACAGCCCGGCUCUGCCAGGCACCGCCCAGCAGCAGAAGGUUGUGCUUCAAGUCUGCACAGCCCUCCAACUUUGGAUGUUUCUUAGACCACCGGGGAUGCAAGUCUUCUAGUCCUUUCUAUUCAGACCAGCACUGACGGUGAAGGAGCUGAGGCCAGGGUUGGCCAUGUGGAGGCGUAGGGAGAUGGAACAUCGGGGACGCACUGCUUCUCUCCUGCUCACGUAGAACUUGAGGACAGAGGCUCUGUCUGGCAUCUGAAGACCCAGCAAAGCCCAGCUCUGCCAGCAGCUUGCCAGGACCUGAGAAAGCCCCUCUCUCCCCGGGCCUCAGUUUCCCCAGAUGUACGUGGAGGGAUUGGCCUAAAUGAGCUCAGCGGAUCUCAUGGCCCCGAUCCUGGCAGGUUGGUGACUGGCUGCCCUGUCCCCAGCCCUGUGGGGGUUCAAGGUGUGAGCCUUGUGGUGGGGGUACACAGGGUCCCCCAAAUUCAUGUAUAUCCAGAGCCUCAGAAUGAGACCUUAUUUGGAAACAGAGUAUUUGCGGAUACAAUUAGGUAAGGACCUCUAGCUAGAAGCAUCCUGGAUUUCGGGUGGGCCCCAAAUCCAAUGACUGCUGGAGAGGACGCCAGAGCCACAGGGAGAAGCGGCCACGUGGAGACGGAGGCAGAGGCUGGAGUGAAGUGGCCAAAAGCCAGGGCGCGCCUGGGCCACCAGAAGCCGGACGAGUACAGGAAGGUCCUCCCCUAGAGGCUUUGGGAGAGCCAUGGCCCUGAUGAUGACACCUUGGGUGUGGACUGCCGGCCCCCAGAAUUGUGGAGAUACGUUUCUGUUGUUUUCAGCCACACAGUUUGUGGUGCUUCGCUCCAGCAGCCACGGAACAUGGAUCUGAGCCCCGAGAGAUUCCUGGAUGUGGGAGACCCACCCUCUGUCCUUGGUGGUUGGUGAGGGCUGCAGGAUUGGGGCUUCUGAUGUUAUUGUCCUGGGGACAGACUCCCUGGGCAGGAUCACGGAGGGGGCAGACUGAGCUGGGACAAGGGGCAUUCGGGCCUCGGGCAGUGGGGCAGGCCCUAGAGUGGCAGCCAGUCAUCACAGUGAUUUCCCUGAACGGGCAAUGUUCCUUUCCAGGCUUAGUGCCCUGGCGGCCUCGGGGAAGUGGAGAAAAGAGAGGGGCACCAGGGUUACGAUUCUCAGCUUACUGAGGUCUGAUGUGAAUGGCAUGCAAGCCUCUGGCCAGGACCGGCCAGUGCCACCUUCUGAGCAUGUUCUGAGUGUUGACUCUGCGCCGGGCACGGGAGAUGAGGCUCCGGCUCUGUGGAGCUGCAUCCGGCUGGGGAGAGAUGGACAAGAGAGAGCAAACACCCCCGUGCCGGGCUUCACAUGUUGAGCCCAGGAGCAGAUGGUGUGACCUGGGCAAAGGGCUCAGAAGAAGGCCCCACCGGGCACCCCCGAGUGUCCCCAGAGCCUCUGUGUGUUCUGGGCACUGUUCCCAGAGCUGCCCUGAGCCAACCGCACAGUCACCACACCUACCUUUGGAGCAGGCAUUUGGCAGACAAGCAGGCAGAGCCCAGGGUUAGAACAAGCACUGCUCCGGCAGGAGGCAAGGGGACCCAGGCUGGCCCGAGCGCGUCCUCCCACCUGCCUCUUUGCCAGCUGCUGCCAAGCUUCGGAAACGAUCCUGGAAUUCAGCUCCGUCAGGGCUUUGCCUGGAUGGGCCAUGGUCUAGUGAGCAUUCAUAUUAAUAGUACUCAUUAAUAUUAAUCAGACCAAAUGUGAUGCAUGUCAUUUUGUUCUCACAACCACCCCAGGUACCACCUGUGACUCAGAUUAGGAGACCAAGGCUCAGAGAAGCCGAGCAGCCUGCCUGCCUCACGCGGGGCGGGGAGUGGGGGCAGUGCCAGAGUCCAAAGUCUGACCAUGUGGUCCAAAGCUCUGGCUGUCACCUGGACACGGCGCUGUCACCUGGACAUGACGCUGUCCCGAAGGCGCAGAGGCGACAGCGCCCGCACCCCACGCUCGAGCUUCAGAGACGCUUUGCUCACUUCACACUGCCAGAGGCGCAAGAGCCCGGGGCGAAGACCCGCUGGUGAGCAGGGACCACGGCGCCUGGCCCGCUGGGCUGGGUGUCGGUGCUCCCCAAAGCUCCGGGCAGACCAUCCAUCACCCGCCGGGAGGCCAGCCGAGCCGCACGGUGCCGCUCGCUGGCUGGGGGCUCGCAGCCAGGCAGCAGAACAGGGGACUCAGGAACCCGGCAAAAAGAACCUCCAGUCAGGGAAAGAUUGCUUCCUGACAGCUAAUAGCCCUUUCUGAAACCAAAAAAGUGUUUCCCCUUUAUUCCAGCACAGGAGAAAUGGUGAGACAUGCUGGCAGAAUUAUAGCAACUUUUUAGCUCCCGGAGGGAAGAAAAAGCCCCAUUGCUAUGAAAUAAAACCGCACUCAGCCCCGAUCCUCGGUGAGUCACGACUCGGGAAGCGGGAGCUGAAACCCCCACCACGCACAGGGGCCCCAGGCUUCCCCAGCAGAGCUGCCCGCCAGGCGGGGUCUAGACAGGGUGGUGGAUGGCAGUCGCCCACUGCCCUAGGCCCAUUGGAGUCAGAGUGCAGCUAUAGCCAAGAAGUAGCUGCUGAGUCCGUCCCGGAGACCGGCCUGGGGAGGGGAGCCCAUGAUCUGUUUGCCCAGAUGCUGAGGCAUGAUCCAGAGCACUGCCUGUCCGGCUGGUGCUGCACACAUUUGGGCUGCUAGGAGACAGGGUGGAGAGGCAGCUGGAGCCAGAAUGCAGUGUGCAAACGGAACGUUGUGCCACCUAAACGCUGAGCCACAUGGGUGGCGGGAAGGGAGACCCACAGGUGCAGGGGUCUGCAUCACUGUCCAGGCUUGGACCCUGGUGAAAGAAGGUGCCUGGUUUUGCUGGAGCAACAGGAAGUGAACAGGGGCCUUGCCGGAAGCUGUGCCCACGGGCUCUGACCUUUGGGAGGGGUCGCAGCUCCCAGAUUCCCAGGCUGUCUCAGGAGGUCCUGCGGAGGUUGAGACUGGCAUUGGGGAUCCCAAAGAUGAAUGUCUGUGGGUGCGGGGAGCGCAGUUUUGGGUUGCGAACAGGGGCUCCCUUAUCAGAGGUGGGCCACGAACACUCAGCCCAGAGUGGCUGGAAAAAGUCAUCUGGGAAGGCUCACCGGCUGUCUCUGGAGGGAGUGAGCCGUGCGUCACUACAGGUAUUCAAAUGAACACAGCGAUUGCAGUGGAUUGUAUACAAGUUAUAGGAAGGGAGAGCUGCAGGGGACCUCAGGGAUCGUUCCGUCUGAUGCUGUUUCCUCUGAGGAGGAAUUGCCCCAAGACCCCAGCUCAGUGCUGCAGGGUCAUGGCUAAGAUGCCGGCAUCCAGACCUGCAGCCCAGGGGCCUUCCACAGGCCCCUCCCGCCCUUCUACAGUGCUGUCUGGGCUGCCAGGGCGGGCAUGGGGGCUGCCCUGGUCCCCCUCGUGCACUUUUGGGCUGGUCUGCUGACCAUAGACGGGCCUCGGGUCCCCAAAAAGCCCCCAAGAUCAUCUCUCCGGAGACUAUGUUUCUGACAGCAGCUGAAAGCUCACAACUUUCACUGGACACCUGCUGCCUGUCAGGCUGGAACCAGGCCCCUUGCUCUGCUAUCUCAGUCUCCUUCCAAGGCAGGAAGAAAUGGAAACUCAGAGAGCCCAGGGCCAUCCCCAGGGCAAGCCGCGGGGCUGGGAUUUCCUCUGGGUCCCGACUGACGCUGGCGCAGCUUGAGUCCUCCACACUCAUCACCAACUGCCAGCUUCUGACGUCCAAGGGAAGAGACAGUAGCCAGCAGGCAGAGACAGCAGAGGUUGCAAGGGCCCCGGGGCAGGGGCACAGAUGGCAUGUGGGGCAAGGUGAGAGGCGAGGGGAGUGGUGCCCUGAGACCUGCACAGGGGUUACCAGGUUAGAGUCAGGAGUGAUUCACGCAGGGCCAAGGUUGAGCAAAUGAAUGAAUGAACGGCCAGGAUGCAGGGGACAGCGGAGAGGCUGGAAAGGAGGCGAGGGCUGGGAAGUGGACAGCCGUGAGCAGCGGAUGAGGGUGGAGCCUGGGCAUGCUCUGGAGGAGGAGGUGGGAAGUCACACAGGCUGCCCUGAGGCUGCGGGGAAGGGGACAUGCUCAGGCUAUGCUUCAGGGAGGGUCCUGCCUGGGUGGCCUUGGAGGGGACAGUGAGGAGGACAAUGAAGAAAGGCCACCGGGCACUAGUCUGGUGGUCAGAAGAGCCUCAGCCAAGGUGUGGCAGAGGCGCCAGCGAGGUGGUGUGAAGGCAGGCCGGGGGCCUGGGGUCGGGGAGCAGGCAGCAGGAGUGUGGAGGGCAGAUUGGCCCAGGACACACACCAGACAUUGGGGGUUCAGAAGGGGCACUCAGGGUGGGAAGCAACCUCUCCCAACCCCUCACGUUAAUCUCCACGCUUUUCCUCUAAGUACCAAACUUCCCUGCAAAGGCCCCAGCAGCCCUGGCAGGCUCUUCCUCGCCUGUGGCUGCCCGAUGGCUCCUCCUGCAGGCCUGGGCUUGCUGGGGUUGCAGGGUCAGGGGAACCAUCCCGGCGUAUCUCAAACCUGUGCAGCUUCAUGGCGCGUGCCAGGAGAAGCUCUGUAAAAUUCACGGGCUGGCUCCUCUUGGAGCAUCAGGAGAAGCAAACAGAGAGACAGGCCUGGCAUUGAAACUACCAGCAGACAUCGCUCAUCUCCCACAAAGGUGCAGACGGCAGCUGUCACGAUGCAGAGAGCAAUGGGCGAUUUGUCAGUGGGAACCAGAAUGAACUUAGAUUUGUUCUUGAGAAUCAUCUCACCCAGAGCCCUCAGGAUGGUUGGCUCUUGGCCGGCUCAAACUCAGGGGCGGGGCAGCCACAGGCCAUGGCCCGCACCCUGCCAGGAAGCCUAAGGUUUCCUCGUUUAUCAGUCCACAAGGUGCUCAGCCCCUGCAGAUGGAUUUGGCUGCGGCUAAUGUAUCUGCUGCACUCUUGGUUGAGUGGAUCUCCCGAUUUCCAAGUGAAUUGCAACCUGUUAUUUUUAUAAUGUGGAAAAAAGCCCACCCUGGGCUUAGCGGCCUUUACAUCCCCUCCCCCAGCCUGCUGGUCCUUUCCUUCUGACCUGGUUGGGGGCCUGCUGCCUGGUGGCAGGCUGGGCUCUCCUUCAGGAGAGCAUCCAAUCAUCUCCACGCAGAUGCUGCCCCGGAGAGAGCCAUAGAAGGCGUUAAAGCAGAGAUUCAGCGCCGACUUGUCACGCUUGAAAAUAAAAUGGACCAGAAUGAUCUCAUGCUGGAAACUUUAUGAAACAAGCUCUUCCCCGCCAGGGUUUAUUGGGCACCUCCCGUGCGCCAGGCGGUGUCUCAUCCUCACAGCCUCUCCCAGGCCUGGCGACUGCUGCCCCUAUUUCAGCAAGAAGAAUGUGGAGGCUGAUGCCUUGUCCAUAGCUGGAUGGUAGCCAGGGAAGAGUGGGCCUGGCCUCAGCCCUGUAGACACCCAACUCUGAGGUCCUUUUACUAGGCUGAUGGAGGUUUAGAAGAGAUGACCUUGAACACCCUUGAGGUCAUGAAAUAAAGGGAGGGAUCUAGAAAGCCGAAGAAAAGGAGAACCACUCCAAGGACCCCGGAAGCUUUAAAAUGGACCCUCCGAGGCAUGGCCAAAGGAUUUUAUUUCACAUGCUUUCUUCAAGUCUCGUGAAUACGCCGUCAAUACUCCAGCUAACUAACCUUUCUGAAUCACACCAGUUCCCAGUCGCCCAUGAGGAUGAAGGCCUUGGGAAUAGUCGGACAUUGGGAUGGAGCAGAGAUGGACAUUGGGAGUGAUUUUCAGCAGAGGGGUGGUCUGGGGGCUCCUGCCGGACGGACAAGCGGCUCCCCACUCUGGGGCCCCACGUUGCCAGGUGGGGGUGGUUGACUGGAGGCCGCUCUGACAGCCUGAGCCUGGCUUUAUAUUUAGGUUGAGUAGGUGGCUGCCUACUUGGUGUGAUUUCACAGGCUCUUGAGGGCCUCUUCCAAACCCCAAAAUACCUCCUCCACCUGCUUCCUGGUGCUGGAACUUCUCUGAUAAGAGAACAGCUUCCUGUUCCUAAGUUAGAAAGAAAGCUGGCUUGCCCCUUUGUGUUGGAGCCAGCACUGAUCUAAGUGAGCUCCCCAGCGAGCAGCAGGUGCAACAUAGUUUUGGGGGCUGAGAAGGCCACUUAAGGCCUUGUCCAGAAAGGCAUUGCAGAGUCCCCUCCUGGUCCUCUGUGUCUCCAGGGAAUGUGUAGGAACUCAUGGCAGUUGAUCCUUGACCUUUGCAGAACCAGGCUGUCUCCCAAAUGCAAGGUUUGAUGCAUCCCUGCCUCUAAUGAUGCUGCCUUCCAGCCUGAGAGGCCAAGGACACUGACAGUUUUAUACCUACACCAUCACACAUCAGGACACGCUGAGAGAGGAAAGAAGAAUGUGCCACAAGGCAUGGCCUAUCAGAUGAGGGCAUUCGAGCUGAGGCUUUGUUGGGUGAAUAGGAGUUCACUAGACAAGUAAUAAGAGAGAGGUUUCCACGCGGUGGGAACAGUGUGUGGGAUGGCUCAGGCAGGAAGGGGCUGGCACGUUAAAGGGCACCAUGGAAGCAAAGGGGCCCAGGCAUUGAGGGGGGAAAGCUGGGAGACGGGGCAGAGAGAGGCAGACAGGAGCCAACCUGUACUCACAGUGGGGCCACACCCAGCAGCACGGCAGUUAAUGACACCGGGCGCCUGUCAGGGAUGCGCUCAAGGCCCCACCCAGGGCCCAAGCUCCAGGAGAUCCCAAGGUAGAUGGCCUGCUCUGAGAGCUUGAGAGCUGCCACCAGGUUGGGCAGAAAACUGGGCCUUCCAGCCUGGGUGAGGGGGUCCGCUUGCUGAACAGUCACGUGCCUGAGCUCUGGGGACAUGGCAGGCCCAGCUCCGAUCGGCUUUCCUCACCCUUCAGGGCCCGCAGGCCAGGGGGGCUCAGCUCCCAGGGUGGUCAGUGCUCAGCAGAGGAUCUGUACUUGUACUCUGAUUAUACCUGAGAGCAUUUCAAGGACAAGGGACACACCUUUGGCCUCUCUGUAUCCUUCAGAGAACCUGACACAGUUCUGGGCUCAACAGACACAACGAGGAUGGAUUGCAGUGCAGAAGCAACCCAGGCCCUGCACCCGCGAGGCCGCCUGCCGACCUGCUUCCUCGCAUCCCCGUCACCUGUUUUGCUUUUAAAAAUAUGUUUCAGAUCAUUAGGGCAAAAAUGUUCAAAGCAGAGUAAAAACUCAUUAGUUCAGACCCGGUUAUUCGGGAAUCUAGAAUACCACGUUCUGAGCAUCCGGUUUAAUGAACACAUUUACGAGGUAAAAAAUUGAGAGUUCUUAGUUUUCUUGAACCAGCUACUGAUUCCACCUGCUAACCUUUUGGGGUAAAAGACUGUGGUUUUACUGGAAAACAUGUUCUCAUGGCAAAGGAUUGCUGACUGCCUUCUGAGGCACUCACGUGAUCCGCUAAGGUGCGAUCAGAGGCUGCAACUGUUCAGAGCUGCCCUGGGCUCCCGUGUGGGACCUCAGACUGUGCUGUUUCCCUGCAGUGGCCUCUGCUUAUGGGCAUCGUUAGAGAAAACAUUAACCUGACAGUUGUUAAAACGGCAAGGAAUUGGGAGGCCGAGGCUGUUGGAUCACCUGAGGUCAGAAGUUCGAGACCAGCCUGGCUAACAUGGUGAAACCCUGUCUCUACUAAAAAUACAAAAAAAUUAGCCAGGCAUGGUGGUGCAUGCCUAUAAUCCCAGCUACCUGGGAGGCUGAGGCAGGAGAAUUGCUUGAACCCGGGUGGCAGAGGUUGCACUGAGCCAGGAUUGCAAUAUCGCACUCCAGCUUGAGUGACAGAGCGAGACUCCGUCUCAAAAAAAAAAAAAAAAAAAAAAAAAAGGGAGAGGGGGCAAGGAAGACUUUAUUCAGGACUAUUGCAAUAGGUGUCAAAACAAUCACAGUGGGAGAGAGAAAUCAGGCUCAACUCUCAAUGCCACAGGGCAGCUGGGAUUUGCAGGCAUUGAGUGGAGCGAGGGUCGGGGUGGAAAGUUAUGAAGAGCCAAGUUAGACACCAAAGCCCAGGGGUUAUUGCUACAGGCAGUUCAAGGACUUUGAUAUCCAGGAUGGGGGAUGAGGAGCUUGGGCCAACAACCAGGUUGAGGGCUUAGCCCAGGAGGGUUCUUGACCUCAGAUAUCAAGGGUGGGGGGACUUUUGCUAAGCAAACCUAGCAGGAGUUUUGCUAAAACCAGACUAUGUGGCCAAAGAUGAGGCCCAUGAGUGAGGCCUCAAAAAGUAGGCUCAGGGGAGGCUGGCUGAGGUUUGGUUAGGGAGCGGGGGUCUUUGUCCUUGUGUCCUGGGAAGCUGGGAGGAAGCGUGAAACACGUAAUGGGUUGCAGUCCUGGGGAGGGCUCCAAAAUAAUCAGCAGGUGGUGGGGGGCCCAGCGGCCACAGCUGCAGGCCGUGGAGCUGGAGAUCUGGGUAGAAGCCAGUUCUGCCAUCCACCAUGUGAGUCCCCUCUAGUCUCAGGCCCUUGUCUAUGGAGUGGGGACAAGAAUCCCAUCCUCAGGAAACUGGGGAAAAGCUUGGCACUGCAGAGGGCAAACAAUAUACUUCAUUUACCUUUAAUAUUAUUACACAAGCAGUGAACGCACACAUUUUUAUUCUGAAAUAUUCAAGCAAAUGUCUAUAGAAUAAAAUUUGGACGUCUCUUUGC